UUAGGAAUCUUGCUCAAUGGGGGAAACCCUGAAGCAGCGACGCCGCGUGCGGGAUGAAGACCCUCGGGUCGUAAACCGCUUUCAGCAGGAACGAAAUUGACGGUACCUGCAGAAGAAGCCCCGGCCAACUACGUGCCAGCAGCCGCGGUAAUACGUAGGGGGCGAGCGUUGUCCGGAUUCAUUGGGCGUAAAGAGCUCGUAGGCGGUUCGCUAAGUCAGGUGUGAAAUCUCCACGCUCAACGUGGAGGGGCCACCUGAUACUGGCGUGACUCGAGUCCGGUAGGGGAGUGUGGAAUUCCCGGUGUAGCGGUGAAAUGCGCAGAUAUCGGGAGGAACACCAGUGGCGAAGGCGGCACUCUGGGCCGGAACUGACGCUGAGGAGCGAAAGCGUGGGUAGCAAACAGGAUUAGAUACCCUGGUAGUCCACGCCGUAAACGUUGGGCACUAGGUGUGGGACCCUAUCGACGGGUUCCGUGCCGUAGCUAACGCAUUAAGUGCCCCGCCUGGGGAGUACGGCCGCAAGGCUAAAACUCAAA
rnacentral:rRNA from 1 species